ACAUUCCCGGUAGGGUUCCCUACGGACCCGGUCCGUCCACCAUCUCCCAGGAUAUCUAGUCAGGCUGUCCACAUUUUCCACUUAUCAAUUCACAUAACCUUUUUGCUUUUUUUCUUAAUCUCAAUCAUCCAAUCAUACACAACAUGUAAACCAGUAAUUGAUACCAAAUAAGACAACACAGUAUCGGGUUCACCAUAAUACAAACCAUAAUAAAAGAUACCAUGAUUUAUGUAUACGAGACCAUAAAAUAAUUACAUCAAACAUCAUACUGCAUUUAAUACUGAAAAUUAGAUCAAACAACAAUAGACCAACACUGUAUCAGACUCGGGCUCCAUUGGCAACCUCAAUCAAUUAUACAUCUAUAAAGUCUCAAAAUACCGUUUAAUUAUUUAUUAAGCUUUAAUACCGUGAUAGAAAAUAGGGUGAGGGGUCCUUACUUGUUUCGGUGUCUGAAAUCG
rnacentral:lncRNA from 1 species